rnacentral:rRNA from 1 species
CGUAGGGUCCAAGCGUUGUCCGGAUUUAUUGGGCGUAAAGAGCUCGUAGGCGGUUCCGUAAGUCGGAUGUGAAAACUCAGGGCUCAACCCGGAGACGCCAUCUGAUACUGCGGUGACUGGAGUCUGGUAGGGGAUCACGGAAUACCUGGUGUAGCGGUGAAAUGCGCAGAUAUCAGGUGGAACACCGAUGGCGAAGGCAGUGAUCUGGGCCAGUACUGACGCUGAGGAGCGAAAGCGUGGGGAGCAAACAGGAUUAGAUACCCUGGUAGUCCACGCCGUAAACGUUGGGCACUAGGUGUGGGUCCUCAUCAACGGGAUCCGUGCCGUAGCUAACGCAUUAAGUGCCCCGCCUGGGGAGUACGGCCGCAAGGCUA